rnacentral:lncRNA from 8 species
AAAUACGGAUAGGAUGAAUAUAGACAAAGAGCAUGUUAUCAGGUAAUUCACCAUAGUACCAAUUGUUUUACUCUGCUAAAUUGAUGCUCUAUCUAAAUGUAAUUUGUGAUUUUAAGAAAGUAUCAAGUUUAAGUAGGCUAAAUUUUGAGUUAAAUAAUUAUUCCAUCACCACAGUUAAUUUUCAACAUUCACUUUUCUCUCUGCCUUUUAGGAGAUCUUGGGACGUGGGAAAAGAUGUCCCUGUCAUCCAGAAUGAACAGACAUCCCAAAAACUUCUGCAAUGGCUUUUCUUCUUUAUUGUUGCCCUUCUUGUAUUUGCUCUUGGCAUAUUUAGUAAGGGAUCCUUUCUGCUCCUGAUAACACUGUCAAGUAACGCCACCAAUACAGUCCCAGCUGACCAAAAGCCAUGCGCCCUCCUCAGUGUCAGCUGUGCUGUGAUUGGACCAAGUGUCUUGCUCCUCAUUAAAAGCCUGUGGAAAAUAUUCUUCAAAGACUCAGAGAAACCAUCAAUGAAGACGAUUGUGUGGGUAAGCACCAGGUGUUCAAAAAUGACAUGAUUUAUUAUUGUUCCCCUAGAUGACGUAUCAGGGACAGAUCUGCUAACUUGUUUUGUCUAGGUGAGCAGUGGGAACGUAGAUUGAGCCAGGUUCACGUCAUUUAGCUUGGGAAUGAGGAUUAGAUGCUUCAGGGGAGUGGGGGAGCGUAGGAAAACGUUGCUCUUUUAAAGCUAAAGGGAUAGUGUGCUGGGUUUUUACCGCUAUCUUAAUCAUUUUCUUACCUUGAGAGAAGUUUUGUUUGUCCGUGUGCUUUUGUAAAUGGCUUUAGGAUUACAUUUGUAUGUUAAAAUACUGAUAAUUAGUGAAAACACUGUCGUCAAUGAAGUUUCAGCUUAAAAUGACAAUUCAUAGUAUGUUAUGAAAAGGGAACAGCAUCGGAGGGAUAACAUCUCCAGCCCUGUCAUAAACAAAUGUAAGAGUCUAAGCUGUUUUAAGAUGGUCAUACCAUGGAUCAUUUAGCUAUUUGAUUUAGAUUUUUAGGACCCCUUUAGGCAUAAAUAUAUAUAUAUAUAUAUAUAUAAAAAUAUUUGAUAAAAUAUUGAAUUUGGCCUUUACUACAAUAGCCAAUAUAAAUACAUUGAAUAACAUAUUCAUAAAUGGCAACAACAACAAAAAUGAAUCACAAGGAACAAGGUUUUGAAGUGUCUGACCUAUAUCUAGGAGAAACAUAUAAGCUCCAGUAUCUCAAAUAUCGGGACACCAGGCCUGGUUUUCAUAGCUUAUUUUGAAAAGGCUUUUGAUAAAGUACAACUGGAGUUUAUAUAUAAAUGCCUAGAAUAUUUCAAUUUUGGGGAAUCUCUUAUAAAAUGGGUUAAAGUUAUGUAUAGUAACCCUAGGUGUAAAAUAGUAAAUAAUUACAAAUCGUGGCUUAAAAACGAAGGUGUCAUUGUACACUGAUGACUCAUGUUUUCUUUUAAAACCACAAUUAGAAUCUCUCCACGGCCUCAUAGAGGAUCUAGAUACUUUUGCUAUCCUCUCUGGAUUAAAACCAAAUUAUGAUAAGUAUUGGAUCACAAAAAAAUUCACAUUUUACAUGACCAUGUAGUUUACCAAUUAAAUGGUCUGACGAGAUGUGGACAUACUCGGUAUACAAAUCCCAAAAUAAAUAAAUGAUCUCACUCCAAUACAUUUUUAUAGAAAGUUAGCAAAAAUAGAUAAGAUCUUGCUACCAUGGAAAGGAAAAUACCUGUCUAUUUGUGGAAAAAUCACCCUGAUUAACUCUUUACAUCAUAUCACAGUUUACCUAUUUGCUUAUGGUUUUGCCUACACCUAGUGGCCUGCUUUUUAAAUUAUAUGAACAAAAAAUAUUCAAUUUUAUUUGGAACAGCAAGCCAGACAAAAUUAAAAGGGACUAUUUAUAUAACGAAUAUUUCUUCAGAGGGCAGAAAUGAUUAAAUAUUAAAGCAUUAGACCUCUCACUAAAGACAUCAGUCAUACAAAGGUUAUACUUAAAUCCAAACUGGUUCUCUAGUAAAUUGGUAGGAAUAUCUCAUUCUAUGUUCAAGAAUGGUCUUUUUCCCUUUAUUCAGAUUACACCUGCUCACUUUCGGUUGUUUGAAAAGGAAAUCAUCUUCAAAAUAUCGUUAUUUUUUAAACAAGCCUUAGAAAGUUGGUUGCAAUUUCAGUUUAAUCCACUUGAAAAGGCAGAACAAAUAAUACAACAAAUCUUGUGGUUAAACUCAAAUAUACUAAUAAUACACUAAAUAAAAAAAAAAAAAGGUAUAACUUUAGUGAAUGAUAUCAUAAAUAGGACUGAUGGAGUUAUGUCACACAUGCAGCUAACACAGACAUAUGGAAAUGUCUGCUUGACCCAAAAUUACAGCCAAUUAAUUGCAGCAUUACCACAAAAAGUAGAAGGGGAAAAAAGUAAGAAACUUGUAUGUCGGCCCUGUAUUUACAUUUUAGUCAUUUAGCAGACGCUCUUAUCCAGAGCGACUUACAGUAGUGAAUGCAUACAUUUCAUACAUUUUUUCUCCAUACUGGUCCCCCGUGGGAAAACGAACCCACAACCCUGGCGUUGCAAACACCAUGCUCUACCAACUGAGCUACACGGGUAUUAAAGAACAUAAAUGGUUAAAGAAAAGUGUGAUAAAUAAAAACAUAUACCAAUUUAAUUUAAGUACCAAAAAACUGACAGCUGUGCCAUAUAAAUUGCAAAAUAGUUGGGAAAAGAUUUUCGAUGUACCCAUUCCAUGGCACAUGUUUUAUAAAUUGAUACGCAAAACAACGCCAGAUUCAAAACUUCACAUUUUUCAAUUUAAAUUACUAUAGAAAAUUCUUGCAAGCAAUAGAAUGUAAUAUAUAUGGGGGAUACAAUCUUCCCAGCUCUGCAGAUUUUGCUGUGAGGAGGCAGAGUCAUUAGAUCAUUUAUUUUGGUAUUGUCCAUAUGUAGCUUGUUUUUGGUCAUCCCUGUGGCUCAGUUGGUAGAGCAUGGUUGUGGGUUCAAUUCCCACGGGGGGCCAAUACAAAAAAAAAAUGCAUGAAAUGUAUUCACUACUGUAAGUCACUCUGGAUAAGAGCGUCUGCUAAAUGACUAAAAUGUAAAUGGUCACAGGUCCAGGAAUGGCUGAAGAAUUGCAACAUUUGCCUAGAACUAACGCCUCAGAUAGCAGUACUGGGUGAUUUGAAAAGCCAUAGUCAG